ACUAGGGAUCGGGCAAACCUCAAUUAAGGAUGUUUCUCGGCACCUUACGAGAAAUCAAAGUCUUUGGUUCUGGGGGGAUAUGUCGCAAGGCUGAAACUUAAAGGAAUUGACGGAAGGGCACCACCAGGUUGGAGCCUGCGGCUUAAUUUGACUCAACACGGGGAAACUCACCAGGUCCAGACAUAACUAGGAUUGACAGAUUGAUAGCUCUUUCAUGAUUUUAUGG
rnacentral:rRNA from 1 species